rnacentral:rRNA from 1 species
UGCUCGAGUGGCGAACGGGUGAGUAACACGUGAGUAACCUGCCCUUGACUUUGGGAUAACUUCAGGAAACUGGGGCUAAUACCGGAUAGGAGCUACUGCUGCAUGGUGGGGGUUGGAAAGUUUCGGCGGUUGGGGAUGGACUCGCGGCUUAUCAGCUUGUUGGUGGGGUAGUGGCUUACCAAGGCUUUGACGGGUAGCCGGCCUGAGAGGGUGACCGGCCACAUUGGGACUGAGAUACGGCCCAG